AGUCACUGACAUUAGAUACCCCUGUAGUCCAGGGUGUAAACGCUGCAGACUUGGUGUUGGGAACCCUUCGGGGGUGCUCAGUGCCGGAGAGAAGUUGUUAAGUCUGCUACUUGGGGAGUACGUCCGCAAGGAUGAAACUUAAAGGAAUUGGCGGGGGAGCACCGCAACGGGAGGAGCGUGCGGUUUAAUUGGAUUCAACACCGUAAAACUCACCAGGGAAGACUGUUACAUGAAAGCCGAGAUGAAGACUCUGCUAGAUUUUCAG
rnacentral:rRNA from 1 species